GAAACAUCGCAAAGCAUUCUUGCAAAUUUCUUCAUCCCAGUCGCUUUGGCUAAAAAAUGUGUCUGUUACAAACAAACAAAAAAAAAAGACAGGGUGAGUAGUUAUGGACAAAAUUCAGAUUUUAGCGUGAACUAUGCCUUUAAAAGAUUAUUUGUAGAGGGCAAAAGCAUCAAUGUUUCAUGGAGAAAAACAAAGAAUAUAUUUUGAGGUGCUGCUUCUUGUGCAUCUUUGCGUGUGUGUGUUUGUCCCUCAGGUUGUUGUGUCUGUCUGUGUUGUACGAGCUCCACACACAGCAUCCCGUCUCUCUGGCUGUGCUGAGAGGGAUUUGGCUCACACGCUGCUCCAAAGAGAAUCCUCUGUUCCCUCUGCAGGAUACGUCUGUCAAUGGGGAGAAGCGUUACUGCCGAUUUGCCCUGCAAGCUCACACCUCAGGGGGGUUGCAAACAUGCACUGCUUCUCUGAUGUUCCUAGAGAUGUUUGCCAUUGUGACAAGAACAAAACAUCAAAACAUCAGCCCCUCUUUGAAUAGGUAGGCUAACUUUUUCUCUGUUCUUGGUGGGCCUUUGAAAAACUGUUUGUUGGGGAAGGGGCAUCCUUUGUUUCAAUGCCUGCACCACUGCCAGAAUUUAAUUAUCAUUUCAUUUUUUAUUUUCUUUUGGAAGAAAAUGCUUCAUUUGAAAAGUGCUGAUCUUAAAUGGAAAUUGACAGUAGUAAUUGCAUGUGUGGAGGAAUAAAAGACAAAUAAAAAUGAAAUGUGACAGAGAAAGCUUCUGAUGUUGCUAAAAAGGCACGUGAAGUAUAAGCUAAUUCCUGAUAUAUGAAUUCAAGGCAACUCACAUGAUAACAUUACAGUUUCAAGACAGAAGCGAUGCAAUAUAUUUUACCAGGGGUCAGCAUUUGAAUAUUUCUAAAAAAAAAAAAAAAAAGGGCUAUUAUGCUCACAAAGGCUGCAUUAUUUGUUUCAAAUGAAUUAAUGUAUGAAUGAAUGAAUGAAUGAAUGAAUGAAUACAUUUCGACUUAAUAAUUGCUUCCUAUCUUCUGAAAAUCAACAGCCACCACUGAAUCAUAUAUACCCUAUGUUGUAGAAAUAUUGUUUAUAAAAUAGUUUUAAAGUGGUAUUUUUUAAGAAUUACAAAAAAGAAAACAACAACAACAACAACAACAAAAACAUUUUGCAAAAUAUCUUCAGAAGAGAGAAAGUAAUCUAUGUUUGGAAUAACAUGAGAGUAAGUAAAUGAUGACAGAAUUUACAUUUUGGGUUCAUGGAUUUUAAAAUAAAACUGAUGAAGAAGAUGUAGGGCCUAUUAUUUAUUUUUUAUUAAUAAACUGCUAUUGUUGCUAAUUUACAUUUUCUUUUCUUUCUUUCUUUCUUUCUUUCUUUCUUUCUUUCUUUCUUUCUUUCUUUCUUUCUUUCUUUCUAAUUACAACAUAUCUCCAUGAAAAGGCCAAUUUCUCAUUUCAUUUCAUAGCCAUCCAAAAAUAGGCUCUGGAAAUGGUUGACCUUUGCUCACAACAAUCUACAGUCAAAUUCCUGCACAAAUCGCAGCACGACCCCAACUAAAAGUAUCCAGCCUUUCUUUCAGUCUGAGAUGUUGGACUUUGAACAUGUUCAUUUCCAGGUCUCCCAUUUGAGCAAUAAGCUCCCUCCCCAGGUUCAGCCCAAACAGGAUCCUUCUCCCAGAAUGCCUCUCCCCACCAGGAUGCAGCUGGAGAGAGGAGAUAAGAGAGUCAUGCAGGGGUCCCUGGCCCUCCGUCAUAUCACUGAAGGAGGGGAGAAAUAGAGAGGAAAAAUCAGAAUUGGAGACCAGAGGCGAACCAAGAUGAAGUGGGGGCCCCAGGCAAAAUUAAUAGAUGAGGCCCUUCUAAAAGAUUAUUUUGUUAAUAUAUCUUUGUUACCUAGAUAUAUAUUUAUACAACAUAGAAAAAGUAGUUAAAACACAUAUAAUAAAACAUAAAUUGUUUAUUUUACAAAACAAAGUGCUUAUUCUUUAACAAAAUAUCAAUCGUCAUGUUUAUGGCAGAAGAUACAAUACUGUACAAAUACAAUCUUAAAGAUAUAGUACAAUCUUCAUAUUUACACUAACAGAUUGUCACCUUAAAAAUGGUGCUUAAGAGCCAUAGCUAUAGCAAUGCUCUCACUAUGUCCUCCAUAUCCAAAUCAGUGUCAGUGCUGAUAGGCUACAUCAGUGAUAGCCUAUCUUGGUUCAUUGUUGACCUGAGCUAUGUUUUUAUCAGCUUUACUAGUUUUAUAAGUUGACUAAUUAUGUUAACUCAACUAAUUUAAUGUAGAAGAGCUAAAUAAAUAAUGUCAACUAAGUAAAUGUAAUUACAUUUAUUAAUAUUGAUUCGUGGGCUCCACACUGGCAGCAAGACACAGUACCCAGGGAUACAAACUAAUCAUGCAAGCAGAGGAUCACUCAUUAGCUUAGUUGCAAUUUCAACUCACUAGUUUUUUUUGUUUGUUUUUUUUUUACUUUUAUUUUUUGCACGUCUUGCUCUCGGAUUUAUUAUAAAAUGACCAUAAAGUCUAGCAAGUGCAAGAAGUCACAAAGUCUCAUGUCAUUUAAAAAUAAAUAAAUAAAUAAGCCCAGAUGCAUACAGCCUAGUAUUGUAAAUAAUUUAAAUACUUAACUAGUUAACUACAAAUCAAGCUAAUUUUUAGUGGUAUAAUAAUUAUAUAAUGCUUUAAAUAUUUUGGUAUUUUUUUAAUUUAAUGAUUUUUUUUUUUUUUUUAAACAUUGCCUAAAAAGGAUACAUCAAUAAAAGAGCUUUAAGUUAUCUUUACCUGUAGAAGCUGCUAAAGGCAACACAGACUUGUUGCUGCUGUAGUUUUGUUACUCUGAAUUUACUUUGCAUCACUUAAAGCACAGCUCUGUUUUGACAUCAGCUUGUCAGAUAGUUCGUCCCGUCCAUUGCUACAGUUAACACUCAGUCGCGGAUCAAUUUGGCGGAUUCAUUCAUAAUUUUUUACAGUUGCGUUUGUCAUUCCUGAAACAGUAUACGUGGACGGAACUUUUAAACUUUUCUUCAAACUGCGAAUGACGUAAAAACCAAGCAAAGGGCGCUUUCAUUAUGGAGCUUCCAACUGUCUGAGCUUACUCACGCUCAUAUAGAGGUCGGGAUCGUUACGUCACGUCGCAAUGCAUUGUGGGAAUCGUGGUACGGAAGUAGAUGUACUGUAUAGUACCGUAUAGUAGGCAGUAGGUAACAUUGGUCAUUUGGUCAUUAAUUUUGGUUAUUUCUUGAAAAAUGGUUCAGUAUUGCUGUAUUGUGAACUGCUGUAAUCGGUCUCAUGAUCGACAGGGCAAACGCCUCGUGAAUCAUAUUAGUUUUCACCAUUUUCCUACAUGGAAAAAAACACAAGGAGACUUCUAUACUUUAACUUAAGGACAAAUCGGUCCUUACAACUUUUACUUGUAAUGGAGUAAUAUUUGACCAGUAGUAUCUGUACUUUUACUCAAGUAAGGAAGUUGUGUACUUUGUCCACCUCUGUAGCUUAGUUAUUAAAAUAUCCAUUUAAAU
ensembl:lncRNA